UACGAAGGGGGCAAGCGUUGUUCGGAAUUAUUGGGCGUAAAGGGAGCGUAGGCGGUUCGGCAAGUCUUUAGUGAAAUCUAUGGGCUCAACUCAUAGACUGCAUGAGAAACUGCCGGGCUUGAGUAUGGGAGAGGUGAGUGGAAUUCCUGGUGUAGCGGUGAAAUGCGUAGAUAUCAGGAGGAACACCUGUGGCGAAAGCGGCUCACUGGACCAUAACUGACGCUGAUGCACGAAAGCUAGGGGAGCAAACAGG
rnacentral:rRNA from 1 species